GUAACAUUUUAGGUUAGGUGAACUCCUCACAGUGUUAAUUUUGUUUUGAAAGAUAAUUCCUACAAAUAGUGAGUGAUGUAGUGGAUGGCUGGAAAGAAGAGAGGCAGCUUGAUGGACGAAGCGGCAGCUUCUGGUGCUACCGGCCUCACCAUCUCUCUCCUAAGCGCCCUCACUUCACUCCCCAGCUAACCAAGACCCUCACGUCACCAUGCACGUCCCACGCUGCACCUGGAGGAAGGUGGUGCGCGACUGCCUUCUGGAGGCGGUUAUGAUCGUAAGAACUAGGAGGCCAGAAACAAUUCCAUGACUCCCCGGCCUCCUCCAACCUUGCUUGGCACUAUGGUAGUG
rnacentral:lncRNA from 1 species